GAUGAAGAACGUAGCGAAAUGCGAUAAAUAAUGUGAAUUGCAGAAUUCAGUGAAUCAUCGAGUCUUUGAACGCACAUUGCGCCCCCUGGUAUUCCGGGGGGCAUGCCUGUCCGAGCGUCAUUGCUGCCCUCAAGCACGGCUUGUGUGUUGGGCCCCCGUCCCCCCCUCCCGGGGGACGGGCCCGAAAGGCAGCGGCGGCACCGCGUCCGGUCCUCGAGCGUAUGGGGCUUUGUCACCCGCUCUGUAGGCCCGGCCGGCGCCUGCCGACCACCAUCAAUCUUUUUUCAGGUUGACCUCGGAUCAGGUAGGGAUACCCGCUGAACUUAAGCAUAUCAAUAAGCGGAGGGA
rnacentral:misc_RNA from 1 species